UACGUAGGGGGCAAGCGUUGUCCGGAUUUAUUGGGCGUAAAGAGCGUGUAGGCGGCCAGACAGGUCCGUUGUGAAAACUCGAGGCUCAACCUCGAGACGCCGAUGGAAACCGUCUGGCUAGAGUCCGGAAGAGGAGAGUGGAAUUCCUGGUGUAGCGGUGAAAUGCGUAGAUAUCUGGAGGAACACCGGUGGCGAAGGCGGCAUCCUGGACCGGCAUUGACGCUGGAGGCGACGAAAGGCUA
rnacentral:rRNA from 1 species